GAGUUUGAUCGUGGCUCAGAUUGAACGCUGGCGGCAUGCCUUACACAUGCAAGUCGAACGGCAGCACGGGAGCUUGCUCCUGGUGGCGAGUGGCGAACGGGUGAGUAAUGCAUCGGAACGUAUCCUGGAGUGGGGGAUAACGUAGCGAAAGUUACGCUAAUACCGCAUAUUCUGUGAGCAGGAAAGCGGGGGACCUUCGGGCCUCGCGCUCUUGGAGCGGCCGAUGUCGGAUUAGCUAGUUGGUGAGGUAAAGGCUCACCAAGGCGACGAUCCGUAGCAGGUCUGAGAGGAUGAUCUGCCACACUGGAACUGAGACACGGUCCAGACUCCUACGGGA
rnacentral:rRNA from 1 species